rnacentral:tRNA from 1 species
GGGGCCGUAGCUCAGUUGGGAGAGCGCCGAUAUGGCAUGUCGGAGGUCACGGGUUCAAGUCCCGUCGGCUCCACCA